GAAGUAUAGUUCCUUUUUACUAUCAAUUCUCAGUUUAUUAUUCGAUCCACGGCGGUCAUUGAUAUAUAAUUCAGACCCUCUCUAUUCAAUAAACUCUGUGACUGCUGUGGAUAGUAAACUUGAAAAUGAUAGCAGAUAGAAAAUACACUUUAUUCGAAGUAUAUGUAUGUUAAAAGUAUACAGAAAAAAGCUAAACCGGAAGUCUAAUCUGACUUAAAAUUUCGUCCAAUGACGGAACAAUAUCCGGAUGCUUUUUUUUUUGUUUUUCUCCCAAAAUAACUCAAUCUGAAUAAUCAUAUGAAUGGAUGACAAAUGCGACUAUGCACUGUACCUAUAUGACACAGAGGCAUGAUUAUUAAUUUAUUGUUGAAAGAAGAGAAGCGACACACAAAAUGAGGUCUUCUCGUUUAAUAGUAUAGAUUUUAGAACAGAGUUCGCGAAAAGUGUCAGUCCUCAGGAUUUUACCACCAAAAUUUUGCAUAGGACUGACACAAUUUUAGUAUUUUUCAAUAGAAUUAGUAGUGAGGACCAGUAGAUUUUCUUCAAGGACCACCAGGGAAAAAAAGAUUUCGCGAACUCUGUUAGAAUUAAUUUCAUGUUGAAAUAAUUUUGAAAAAAAACUUUUGCGGUCGUAUAUUGUUGUCACAUCGUCUUCGUUGUCAGCGUUGUCCAAAGAUGGAUGGUUUCCAUAUACAUUUUCUACAUGUAAUAACUUUAGUAUAAGGCCAAAUAAAAAUAUAUGUGUGGUUCCAGUAACCCGACCGACCCUAGUUAAAACCCCCCGACCCUAGAACUUUUUUUUUCAUUUCUGAAAAAUAAAUUUUCAAACGAUCAAAUUUGAGGAUUGUGAAUUAAAAUAAUUAAAUUCAUAGAUUUCUGUCAUCUGAAUUUCCAUCACAAGUAUCUGUUAUGGCUAAAAUGCAACAAUUCAUAACAGAAUGCAACAAAAUUAACUAAAAACGUAUCAUGACUGUUUAUUUUACAACCAAACAUGUAAAAAUGGUGGACUUCCGGUUGGGGCGUGUAUAAUACCGGAAACAAUUUCGGUAAACACACGAUUUUUUUCCGGAUUUUGACAUUCAAAAAUAAAAAAAAAACUAGUAUCUCAAUUGUUUGUAAAACAAUUGAAAGGUCUUUCCUGUAAAAGUGAUGUUUUCGUAAUGUACUUUGUACGACCUUUCGUUUGAUAUACGACAAGCAUACCUUCUGAAACUUUUCACUUUUAUCACUUAAUGACCUCAUCCGCCUACAUUUUUGAGAUCGGAAUUAUUAUAUUUGUAACAUAGAGUAGAUGAGCUUUCAUUUGAUAUGCGACAACGCCAUGUUCUAGAAAGUUUGAUUUUUGCACUAAAUAACCCUAUCUUACUAAUUUUUGGAGGUCAGGAAUUUGAUAUUUGAAAUGUACACAUCAUGACCUUUCAUUUGAUAUACAACAACCCUAUCUUAAAAGAAAAUAUAUGUUUUGCACUCA
rnacentral:lncRNA from 1 species